rnacentral:rRNA from 1 species
AUGCAUGUGUAAGCAUAAGCCAACAAAUGGUAAAGCUGCGAAUGGCUCAUUACAACAGCCACUGUUUAUUUGAUCUUAAUCCAUUACUUGGAUACCUGUUCUAAUUGAAGAGCUAAUACAUGCAACUAAGUCCCAACCGCAAGGGAGGGAUGCACUUAUUAGACCAAAACCAAUCGGGCUUGCCCGAGGUUUGGUGACUCUGAAUAAUUUCGCUGACCGCACGGUCUCGCACCGGCGGCGCAUCUUUCAAAUGUCUGCCUUAUCAACUUUCGAUGGUAGUUUAUGCGCCUACCAUGGUUGUAACGGGUAACGGAGAAUAAGGGUUCGACUCCGGAGAGGGAGCCUGAGAAACGGCUACCACAUCCAAGGAAGGCAGCAGGCACGCAAAUUACCCACUCCCGGUACGGGGAGGUAGUGACGAAAAAUAACGAGACGGUUCUCUACGAGAUUCCGUCAUCGGAAUGGGUACAAUCUAAAUCCUUUAACGAGGAUCUAUUGGAGGGCAAGUCUGGUGCCAGCAGCCGCGGUAAUUCCAGCUCCAAAAGCGUAUAUUAAAGUUGUUGCGGUUAAAAAGCUCGUAGUUGGAUCUGCGUCCUAGGCUAGUGGUCCCCCAGCGGGUGGUUACUGCUAUGCCUGGACUAAUCUCUCUGGUUUUCCCUUGGUGCUCUUUACUGAGUGUCUUGGGUGGCUGGAACAUUUACUUUGAAAAAAUUAGAGUGCUUAAAGCAAGCAGUUAGCUUGAAUAGUGGUGCAUGGAAUAAUGGAAUAGGACUUCGGUUCUAUUUUGUUGGUUUUCGGAACUCGAGGUAAUGAUUAAGAGGGACAGACGGGGGCAUUCGUAUUGCGACGUUAGAGGUGAAAUUCUUGGAUCGUCGCAAGACGGACUACUGCGAAAGCAUUUGCCAAGAAUGUUUUCAUUAAUCAAGAACGAAAGUUAGAGGUUCGAAGGCGAUCAGAUACCGCCCUAGUUCUAACCGUAAACGAUGCCAACUAGCGAUCCACCGGAGUUACUUCUAUGACUCGGUGGGCAGCUUCCGGGAAACCAAAGUGUCUGGGUUCCGGGGGAAGUAUGGUUGCAAAUCUGAAACUUAAAGGAAUUGACGGAAGGGCACCACCAGGAGUGGAGCCUGCGGCUUAAUUUGACUCAACGCGGGGAAACUCACCCGGCCCGGACACCGUAAGGAUUGACAGAUUGAAAGCUCUUUCUUGAUUCGGUGGGUGGUGGUGCAUGGCCGUUCUUAGUUGGUGGAUCGAUUUGUCUGGUUAAUUCCGAUAACGAACGAGACUCUAGCCUACUAAACUAGGCGACGGAUUUGGUUUGUCCGUUGAACUUCUUAGAGGGACUGAGGUCAUUUAGGCCUACGAGAUUGAGCAAUAACAGGUCUGUGAUGCCCUUAGAUGUUCGGGGCUGCACGCGCGCUACACUGUAGGAAUCAACGUGCAUUUGGUCCUGAGCCGAAAGGUUUGGGUAACCCGUUGAAACUCCUACGUGCUUGGGAUAGGGAAUUGUAAUUAUUUCCCUUAAACGAGGAAUUCCUAGUAAGUGUGGGUCAUCAUCUCGCGUUGAUUACGUCCCUGCCCUUUGUACACACCGCCCGUCGCUACUACCGAUUGGAUGAUUUAGUGAGGCCUUCGGACUGGCGCCGUAGCGGCUUAACGGCUGCGUCGGUGUCUGGAAAGAUGUCCAAACUUGACCAUCUAGAGGAAGUAAAAGUCGUAACAAGGUUUCCGUAGUGAUC